AACGAACGCUGGCGGCAUGCCUAACACAUGCAAGUCGAACGAGACCUUCGGGUCUAUUGGCGCACGGGUUCGUAACGCGUGGGAACCUUCCCUUAGGGUCGGAAUAACUCCCCGACAGGGGUGCUAAUACCGGAUAAUGUCUUCUGACCAAAGAUUUAUCGCCUUUGGAUGGGCCCUCGUUGAAUUAGCUAGUUGGUAGGGUAAAAGCAUACCAAGGCGACGAUCCAUAGCUGGUCUGAGAGGAUGAUCAGCCACACUGGGACUGAGACACGGCCCAGACUCCUACGGGAGGCAGCAGUGGGGAAUAUUGGAAAAUGGGCGAAAGCCUGAUGCAGCACUGACGCGUGAGUGAUGAAGGCCUUAGGGUUGUAAAGCUCUAUUACCCGGGCUGAUAAUGACAGUACCGGGAGAAUAAGCUCCGGCUAACUACGUG
rnacentral:rRNA from 1 species